rnacentral:lncRNA from 1 species
UGACCUUAAACACACCACGAUCAGUCACUAUUUCCUGAUAAACGCCACAGCGACCGACAGGAUCUCAGCAGCCAUUUUAUGUCUGCGUGGAAGUCCUGACAUUAAGAAGCCGUAUGAUCAUAAAUAUAAACAAUAUCUGAACCAGCGUUAACCCGAAGAGCUUUAAAAAACAUUAAAGAAGACAAUGGACACGACUGCUCAUUCAGUUUUUUUAUUUGUACGAACGAGAAUCUGAAUCGAUUGCGUCCCCCUCACUGAAGGUGGUUUUAAUAUAUAGUCGGCUAAGCCCGGCCCGGCCCGGCACAUUAACUGUAAUCAUGAGCUUUAAACGUACUCAUAGUAAUCGUCGACGCUGUGGUUUAGAUCAGCUCUCCUGAAACCGGAGAGGAUCCAGCGUACGGUCGCUGAGAUUCCCCAUACAAUGGGCUGAGAUUUCCUAAAAAGCCCAAUUAGGGUAUCAAUCAGCUUCUUCAAAAGUUUCACGACGACCGUGUCACCACCAAUCGUUAUACAGUUGAGCAAAUCAUAAGCCAACUUAACGAGGCGGUAUGUUUUGCCAUUCAUCACUAAAGGCAGUAGGCUGUUUAUCAAAAUAGCCAGCAGGUCUUUCAGUAAUACAGCCAGGGCGCUCCCACCGGUGUUUACCUGGCGGGUAUAGUAAGCGUUGAUUCCCCAUCUCAAGUUCCCGUUCGUAUUUACGGACUCCAUGGUUCAGCUCACAGAUUCCUUCUGUGUUCUUCUUCUUCCUGCACCAGAGUGCUGGCCGUCACCUUUUAUAUCUUACCCUGCUCUCUGAUUGGACGAGGGCAGUCAGGUAUGAUGUUAUAUAAUCAACAUUAUGAUGUGUCACAGCGAGCUUCAACGUGCCUCCACCCAGCAGGAACACGCGAGUCCUCCUCAGUUCGUCUUCCUUAUUCCUGAUGGUUAACUGAAACAGCACACUAACACUGAUGAUCCUAUCACAAUAAAGCUCACACAGUACUAUGAACCAUUACACCACUAUCACUAUUGGCAUUGGAACUGAUAACCUGUAUCCAGUGUUUCAG